rnacentral:rRNA from 1 species
GAUGAACGCUGGCGGCGUGCCUAAUACAUGCAAGUCGAGCGAACAGACGAGGAGCUUGCUCCUCUGACGUUAGCGGCGGACGGGUGAGUAACACGUGGAUAACCUACCUAUAAGACUGGGAUAACUUCGGGAAACCGGAGCUAAUACCGGAUAAUCUAUUGAACCGCAUGGUUCAAUAGUGAAAGUCGGUUUUGCUGUCACUUAUAGAUGGAUCCGCGCCGCAUUAGCUAGUUGGUAAGGUAACGGCUUACCAAGGCAACGAUGCGUAGCCGACCGGAGAGGGUGAUCGGCCACACUGGAACUGAGACACGGUCCAGACUCCUACGGGAGGCAGCAGUAGGGAAUCGUCCGCAAUGGGCGAAAGCUUGACGGAGCAACGCCGCGUGAGUGAUGAAGGUCUUCGGAUCGUAAAACUCUGUUAUUAGGGAAGAACAAAUGUGUAAGUAACUAUGCACGUCUUGACGGUACCUAAUCAGAAAGCCACGGCUAACUACGUG